CCCAAGCUACUUAGCUCACAAAAGUUCAACUGCAAAAUGUAUGAUAAAUCCUUUGUGACUUUACAAGUUAACAAAGAACAAACCUCAAUUCCGACCAGAAAUCUUGUAUACUCGUGAAAGGGUUGCUCUUAAUGAGGCUGAGCAGCAGCAGCAGUUGAAUAUGCAGUGUUAAUUUCUCAAAAGAACUGCAAUCGGAUCUUUCAACUCCCUCAGCACAGGCCAGGUCACAUAACAUAGUGCAGUCCCCAGCUUACCUCCCCCCACACCUCCAGGGCAGGAGCACUACCGAACAUGAACCCCGACCGUUCCAAGCUCCCCGCUGACCCAAACGUUAGCUUAAAGCCACUCGCACGCAGACCUAGCCUUCCAGCUAAGGUGAAAGGGACGGCACGGAUCCUUCUUAGGAUGUCACGCCUAUUGAAAAACUAGGCAAAGAUCUAGAUGAGUUGAUGGACCCCCUGGAAGACCUCUGUGUACCCGGAGAGGUACACAUACCCCUCAUUGAAAACCACUGCUAUAGAGAAACAGACAACACAGAACCAGAUAUGUGGCAAGUGGAGCCAGAACAGGAUUUGAUCACUAAAGAGAGAAGAUAAAGUUGGAGAAAGAGACUGAAGAGAAAAGAUAUGAAAGAAAGAGGUAGAAAUGCAAGGGACUCAUGAAAGAAGAAAAAGUUUUGCAGUGCUAGGUAUAUUUGUAUGAGUCCUUUGCAAGAUGCACUUCUCCAUAGACUUCAAGAAAUGUGCACUUGAGGUGAACAGACAGCAAGUGUGAAAAGUUAUACCUUUGAAGGGAGGCUGUGCUACUUACAUUUGAAACAUUUCCAGGUAUAGGUAAUAAGAAGCAAAGCUUCCUGAGAAAGCCAUCUUGUCAUUCGGCCACCAUGGCCAAUUUUUCUGCAUGUUUAUGGUUUACAGAGAUUUGAGGGAGGUCUGAAAUCCUUUUAGUCAGAAGCUCUAAAGCUGAGUCACAUGAGUAAAUGAUAUCAAGUAGCUUCUGGUAAGGGACCAGGGCCAAAACAAAGGGGUUUACUGGUCAGCAGGCCAAGAAAGCUUCCAAGAUUGCAUCAUACUUUGUAAAUUACAUACUGUUGGCAGAGAAACUGUUUUAAACCUGUGGGAGACCUGACUUCCAGGGUAAAGUUACAAACUUCUAGUACUACUCUGAUGCAGUCAUGCAGCUUCCCAGUAAAAGUGAAGUCAUAUUACCACAAACUUUGUUCUUCCUCACCUCAUCCCUUCCCUAGUUUGUUACCCUAACUCAUUGCUUCAG